AACGAACGCUGGCGGCAUGCCUAACACAUGCAAGUCGAACGAGACCUUCGGGUCUAGUGGCGCACGGGUGCGUAACGCGUGGGAACCUGCCCUUAGGUUCGGAAUACCUCCCCGAAAGGGGUGCUAAUACCGGAUAAUGUCUUCGGACCAAAGAUUUAUCGCCUUUGGAUGGGCCCGCGUUGGAUUAGCUAGUUGGUAGGGUAAAAGCCUACCAAGGCGAGGAUCCAUAGCUGGUCUGAGAGGAUGAUCAGCCACACUGGGACUGAGACACGGCCCAGACUCCUACGGGAGGCAGCAGUGGGGAAUAUUAGACAAUGGGCGAAAGCCUGAUCCAGCAAUGCCGCGUGAGUGAUGAAGGCCUUAGGGUUGUAAAGCUCUUUGACCCGGGAUGAUAAUGACAGUACCGGGAGAAUAAGCUCCGGCUAACUCCGUG
rnacentral:rRNA from 1 species